GCGCACCAGUCGAGAAAACUUUACAAUGUGCGAAAGCACGAUAAGGGAACUCUGAGUGCCUCCUAAGGAGGCUGUUCAGGUGUACUAAAAAAGCACCUGAAGGAAGGGCUGGGUAAGACCGGUGCCAGCCGCCGCGGUAACACCGGCAGCCCAAGUGGUAGCCACGUUUAUUGGGUCUAAAAGCGUCCGUAGCCGGCUGGGU
rnacentral:rRNA from 1 species